AACGAACGCUGGCGGCAUGCCUAAUACAUGCAAGUCGAACGAGACCUUCGGGUCUAGUGGCGCACGGGUGCGUAACGCGUGGGAAUCUACCCUUGGGUUCGGAAUAACGUCGGGAAACUGACGCUAAUACCGGAUGAUGACGAAAGUCCAAAGAUUUAUCGCCCAGGGAUGAGCCCGCGUAGGAUUAGCUAGUUGGUGGGGUAAAGGCUCACCAAGGCUACGAUCCUUAGCUGGUCUGAGAGGAUGAUCAGCCACACUGGGACUGAGACACGGCCCAGACUCCUACGGGAGGCAGCAGUAGGGAAUAUUGGACAAUGGGGGCAACCCUGAUCCAGCAAUGCCGCGUGAGUGAUGAAGGCCUUAGGGUUGUAAAGCUCUUUUACCCGAGAUGAUAAUGACAGUAUCGGGAGAAUAAGCUCCGGCUAACUCCGUGCCAGCAGCCGCGGUAAUACGGAGGGAGCUAGCGUUGUUCGGAAUUACUGGGCGUAAAGCGCACGUAGGCGGCGAUUUAAGUCAGAGGUGAAAGCCCGGGGCUCAACCCCGGAACUGCCUUUGAGACUGGAUUGCUAGAAUCUUGGAGAGGCGGGUGGAAUUCCGAGUGUAGAGGUGAAAUUCGUAGAUAUUCGGAAGAACACCAGUGGCGAAGGCGGCCCGCUGGACAAGUAUUGACGCUGAGGUGCGAAAGCGUGGGGAGCAAACAGG
rnacentral:rRNA from 1 species